CAGUAGCCACGGGAAUACGAAGGGUGCAAGCGUUACUCGGAAUUACUGGGCGUAAAGCGUGCGUAGGUGGUGGUUUAAGUCCGUUGUGAAAGCCCUGGGCUCAACCUGGGAAUUGCAGUGGAUACUGGGUCACUAGAGUGUGGUAGAGGAUAGUGGAAUUUCCGGUGUAGCAGUGAAAUGCGUAGAGAUCGGAAGGAACAUCUGUGGCGAAGGCGACUAUCUGGGCCAACACUGACACUGAGGCACGAAAGCGUGGGGAGCAAACAGGAUUAGAUACCCCCGUAGUCCUUGUCUCUUAUAA
rnacentral:rRNA from 1 species